rnacentral:rRNA from 1 species
AACGAACGCUGGCGGCAUGCCUAACACAUGCAAGUCGAACGAGACCUUCCGGUCUUGUGGCGCACGGGUGCGUGACGCGUGGGAACCUGCCCUUAGGUUCGGUAUCACUCCCCGUAAGGGGUGCUAAUACCGGAUAAUGUCUUCGGACCAAAGAUUUAUUGCCUUUGGAUGGGCCUGGGUUGGAUUAGGUAGUUGGUAGGGUAAACGCCUGCCAAGGCGACGAUCCAUAGCUGGUCGGAGAGGAUGCUUAGCCACGCUGGGACUGAGACACGGCCCAGACUCCUACGGGAGGCAGGAGUGGGGAAUAUUGGAGACUGGGCGAAAGCCUGAUCCAGCAAUGCCGCGUGAGUGAUGAAGGCCUUAGGGUUGUAAAGCUCUUUUACCCGGGAUGAUAAUGACAGUACCGGGAGAAUAAGCUCCGGCUAACUCCGUG